rnacentral:rRNA from 1 species
CCCUUAGAUGUUCUGGGCUGCACACGUGCUACACUGGCAGGUUCAGCGAGCUUCAUGCCCUGAUCUGAAAGGAAUGGGAAAUCUUUUCAAAACCUGCCGUGCUUGGGAUAGAUGUUUGCAAUUAUUCAUCUUCAACGAGGAUUGCCUUGUAAGCGCACGUCAUCAGCGUGCAUUGAAUACGACCCUGUAUUCUGUACACACCGCCCGUCGCUCCUACCGAUUGAAGUUUUCGGUGAGUUGACAGGAGGAUUUUUUUGAAACUGGUUCGCCAGUGGAUUUUAGACCCAAAUGCCAACGAAUCGAUGGCUUUAGAGGAAGGAGAAGUCGUAACA